rnacentral:rRNA from 1 species
UACAGAGGUCUCAAGCGUUUGUCCGGAUUUAUUGGGCGUAAAGGGCGCGUAGGCGGCCUGUUGAGUUAAGUGUGAAAGCCCAAGGCUCAACCUUGGAACUGCAUUUAACACUGGCAGGCUAGAGAUCGCAAGAGGAUGGUGGAAUUCCUAGUGUAGAGGUGAAAUUCGUAGAUAUUAGGAAGAAUAUCAAUGGCGAAGGCAGCCAUCUGGGGGCGAUACUGACGCUAAGGCGCGAAAGCGUGGGGGAGCAAACAGG